GGGCGGUUAAACGUCGCGUGCUAUUUUCGCGCGACGGCCCGCCGAAAGGAUGAGCCCGCCGGACGGCGGCUGGGAGCGAGUAGGCGGGUGCCGCCC
ncrna:unclassified sequences DTF3800-X RNA